rnacentral:lncRNA from 1 species
GAAAAAGUAGAAGUACCUGUAAUCAUACAAUACUACAAACAGUAGUAUAGAGCAGCUAGGAAAAUAAACCAUAUAUAAAAACUGCGGUUCAAUACAUACAUGCGAUCCAGAUACACAAAUACUCGCUCUUGCGAGAUAACAAUAACUGUAUGUAAAGACCCAAAAACUAUAACUACCUGUAGCUGGUACUCCUCUAACUCUGCGACUCGACUGGAAGGGCUCUAACUCGCGACGCCGUUGCCACGAUCAAGAUCAGCAACAACAACAGCCGAAGGCGACGGCUCUGCAAAAACAGUGGUAACAAUUGGGCGUGAGAAUUACUACAAAAAGAAGUAGUUCUCAGUGUGUACCGCCCUCGAACUCAUCGGUCCACCUACUAAGUCUACAGGGAUAAGCAGGAAUAGUAAAAAAAGCUGGAAUAAAUCUACAGCUAAAUAUCGCUAUACUAUCAUACUCUCUAUUAACUCUAACCCUCUGUAGAACAAUGUCAACUCAGACCCAAUCUCCAAUAAGGACUGUAAUCGUACCCGUCCCUGGGACUGUGAACACACCCGUCCCGCCCGGUUGCGACUAUAUAGCUACCUCCACACUAACCAGUCCGUGGAGAGCAAGUCCAACCUGCACGAAUGACACCAAUGCAAAAGCACAGCGCCCGUCUUCGAAGUGGCACUCGUGGGAGCUACCCAACCGAGUAUGCAGCGUAUCUCUAUCGAGCUCAAUCAGGCUCUAACAAGCAAAAGUUUAGUAGCUAGGGUCAAAACAGGUUUAGAAACCAAACUCAGGUGCCUUUGGCACAAUCUGAGACCAAAAACAGAAAUCUGGGUCCACCGUCCACCUCGACGGCAUCCGACAACCUGAAACAGCCUAGACUUUGCUGUAAAAAUAAGCUCGGCAUCCCAGCACAAGUGUAAAUGCAUUCUAAACUACCCCGGAUACCCACCGCGCUGAAACAGUAGUGAUACAAUCAAACCACGGCUCCUAGAGCUAAAUUUGGUAGUUUAAGCAUAUGACAUGCUAAAAUCGCCAGUUUUCUCCUAAGUCAAAUUUUCAGUCUAACACGUAUAAUUUAUCUAAUUACUACAGUAUGCUCCAAAUUCAUAUUUCAACAACAAGCUAAUCAUGAAUUCAAGCUAAACUUGAUAUACC